rnacentral:rRNA from 1 species
UGGCAAACGGGUGCGUAACGCGUAAGCAACCUGCCCCCAACGGGGGGAUAGCCCGGCGAAAGCGGGGGUAAACCCCCAUGGUUCACUGGAGUGGCAUCACUUCAUUGAUAAACAUUAAUGGGUUGGGGAGGGGCUUGCGUCUGAUUAGGUAGUUGGCAGUGUAAGGGACUACCAAGCCAUUGAUCAGUAGGGGUUCUGAGAGGAUUGGCCCCCACAUGGGUACUGAGAUACGGACCCAACUCCUACGGGAGGCAGCAGUAGGGAAUAUUGGGCAAUGGGGGCAACCCUGACCCAGCCAUGCCGCGUGGAGGAUGAAGGCGCUCAGCGUCGUAAACUUCUUUUACUCACGAAGAACUGAGUCCCUGCGGGGGUUUUUGACGGUAGUGAGGGAAUAAGCACCGGCUAACUCCGUGCCAGCAGCCGCGGUAAUACGGAGGGUGCGAGCGUUGUCCGGAUUUAUUGGGUUUAAAGGGUGCGCAGGUGGGUGGUUAAGUCUGGUUUGAAAACACGCGGCUCAACCGUCUGAUGUGACUGGAAAC